UUCCACCAGCCUUUGCAAACGCUUCCAAUAAAACUUUACUUCUGAUUAACCCAGAGAGAGAUUUGUGGCUUGUUUCACACAUCACUCUGAUAAAAUAAGGGAAGUAAAAGCAGGAAGUAGUCGACUUCUAAUCUGUUGUUCGAUAUGAGUACUGAGGUUUUAACCCUACAGGAUCGGGAUGAGGUGAAGAACUUGUAUGCUGCUCACCACUCCAGCCAGCACAGACAAAGACUUUAGACUGGGAGUACAAGGAGCCCAGAAUGGUGUUUACUGGCAUCCUAACCCUGCUGGAGGACACGACAGAGAUAGGACCUUCAUGAUUCCUCCUUGCAAAAAUUGUUUUAUGAAAAAAUCCAUUUGCAAUAUUAAACUGUGUGUAGCAGAGGGACCCCAAAUUCUUUGAACCGGCCCUGCUACAGAACAAAAUGAAGAAUGACAGCUACAAAGGGAAGAAGGAACUACAAGGGGAAAGAAGAACCAGAGCAGCUUAAGGCAGGGAGCCUCUGCUAAGCCUGUGUUGUCAACAUACAGUCACCCCCUGGGGGAGAUGGGCGGCAUAUAAAUGUAAUAAUAAAUAAAUAAAUGA